UACGGAGGGUGCAAGCGUUAUCCGGAUUUACUGGGUUUAAAGGGUGCGUAGGUGGGUCUGUAAGUCAGUGGUGAAAUCUUCAAGCUUAACUUGGAAACUGCCAUUGAUACUAUAGGUCUUGAAUUAUCUGGAGGUGAGCGGAAUAUGUCAUGUAGCGGUGAAAUGCUUAGAUAUGACAUAGAACACCAAUUGCGUAGGCAGCUUACUACACGAUCAUUGACGCUGAGGCACGAAAGCGUGGGGAGCAAACAGG
rnacentral:rRNA from 1 species